UUUCAAGAAUUCAUUUUUAAUUAUUGACUAUUCAAAAUAUUAUUUCGACAUAUAGUCAAUGAAAUUGUUAAUUAGAUAUUUACACUCUUUUUUCACACUAAGUCGUCAAAAUGUUUAUAAUUACAACAUAUCUCGAUUUGGACUAGCCAUAUGUCAAGUGUUCAACAGCCACAUAUGACCAAUGGCCUCCGUACUGGACAAUAUGAUACAGAUAUUAGAGACUCUGAGGCUUGCUUUUCUAUCUGUUUACAGGCAAGUUUACAGCAAUUAUAAUCAAAAACAUUCUUGUGUUUAACUAGGGAUGUCAAAGAAUUUUCAACACAAAGUGUUAAACACAAACACCAAACUUGCUAUAUUUAUUUUUACCAAAGUAUACAUAGCAGUGCAAAAUACUUGGUGUUUCCUUUCCUUUCUAAAGAUGUUUCUUGUUCUUUUACUUUGAGUUUAAUUAACUAAUUUCACUGACAUGUCAAUAUUUACUGCUAAUUAUACAGGAACAAUUCUACCACUUGAAGAAAGGCAUUGGUAUUGUGUAUCAUAGAAUUUAUAAGCUCAGUGCCUGGUAAUUUCCAUAUCAAUAAUUUCCAUUAGCGUAAUGGAACACAAUAGAAGCUGCUCCAGAAAUAACAAUGUGUAAUAAAAAAAGCAAUCAUAGAGAAUCAUUUGGCAGCAAAGUAGAUAACCAAUAAGCCAAUGACCUAAUCAAUAGGUAUUAGAUACAUUAAAUGCAGAAGAUAAUUCAGAAGAAUCCAUUAGCAGAAAUUCUAACAAAUAAAUUACAUAAAAAUAAUCAAUGCAUCUAGCUGACAAUGUAACUGAUAACAGUGGAUCCGGAAGCAAUUUCAAAGAUUUGCAUUGCUCACAUUUGCAUACCUUUUCAAGUUGUACAUUGCAAGCUACACCUCCUCCCCCAUCUUAAGCCCCUUCCUUAAUCUUUUUUCUAAAUUAGCUUGUUGUUUUACUAUGUGGUAAUGAAAAAUGGAUAAAGGCAGUCAUAUGGGUUUUCUGUCUCUCUAGAACACAUCUUGAUGAAACAUACUCAAUAUCUGCUACUGGCUUUGGAGGCAAAAGCUAUGACAGAAGAGUCUUUGCUUCUGAAGGCAGAGGCAAAGAAAGAGGGAACUUGGGAGGGAGUAGCACUGGGGGGGGUGAACUAGGGAGACUAGUUAUAAAGAUGGAUGGAUGGAUGGAUGCAUGGAUGGAUGGAUGGAUGGAUGGGUGGAUGCCCUUUAAAGUGGGACAGGAACAUCCUUUUGUUAUGACUGUCCAGAAUGUCGGCCUGCCUCCUGACUGGAAAAAGGGAAGCAAAAGACACUUCCUGUGGCCUUCUACUCUAUCAGAUUGAUCAGCAUAAUUUUUUCCGCUUUACAACCGUUUAUUUAUUUGAUUUUGUACACCUGAAAAGCAUUUACACAUUGCAAAGUUAGCUGACUGGGAGAAGACGAGAUACUGAUAGAACUAUUAUGUAUUAUGUAACUGGUGUAAUGCUUUCAUUUUGAUUUACUUAGGGAAGCAAGUAGGAGUGGGCUAUAAGCCAUAGUCACUCAUGGAACUUGCUCCCAGGACAAGGCACAGAACCCUUGUCUUAUCUCCCUUCACUUAUCUCCCUUCACUCUUCGAGGUGUGGCUGGAAAGGAAGCAGAGGCUGCCAUUUAGUGAACACCUACUACAUAUCAGGCACCAUGCUUAGCACAGGUAAGUAAUCUCUAACUUUAUUGACUAUUUUUCCCCCACAAAGUCAUUGUUAGUGAUGAGAAAAGUGCAUCAUUUUGGAAGGCAGCUAUGCUCACCACUAUACACCAACACUGCACAAAGUGCAUCAUUUUGAACACAAAGAGGAGAAAAUGCUCUGCCCAUCCCUGUAGAAAAAUCCUAGAAUCCCAUGAUUCUAAAAGAAAAUAUCAGCAGAGCCCUUUGAUGCUCUUUGUACAUAACAACGAAGUUAAGCCGGGGAUGGUAAGAUGGGGCUGUUAUUUGCCCCUCUUAAUGCCAAGGCAAUAGUAGUGGCACUGGGCACCAGGAUUAAGCCACUUAAAGUGAGAUCAAUAAAAUCUAGAAACAUCAUCCUUUCAAAUAGUCUUAGGUGUCAAGAGAUAAAAUUUGAAUACUUCUUUGGGAUGAUCACUGGAAAAGAGAAAGAGCCUUUUAGUGAUGCAUGUAAAAGUAAGCCACACAACCACUGCUUUAAGAAAAACUAUGAAAUAAUUAUUAAUAUAAAAGUGAUGAUGCUGAAGGAUAAAAAUUUUAAAAACCUGAUUCAUGCAAAUAUAAAAUGAACACAUGUCAAGAUUUUGACUCAUUCACUAAUUAAUGAACCAGUGAGAUGAUACAAUGGGUUCAAGGGAGAAUUUAAAAAUCAGACACAUAGGAUUUCCCAUUGUGGCUCAGUGGAAAGGAGUCUGACUCGUAUCCAUGAGGAUGCAGAUUCAAUCCCUGGCCUUGCUCAGUGGGUUAAGGAUCUGGCGUUGCGGUGAACUGCAGUGUAGAUCACAGAUGCGGCUCAGAUCCUGCGUUGCUGUGGCUGUGGUGUAGGCCAGCAGCUACAGCUCUGAUUUGACCCCUAGCCUGGGAACCUCCAUAUGUCGUGAAUGCAGCCCUAAAAAGAUGAGGGGAAAAAAAAAAAGCAGAUACACAGACAUACAGACUGAUAUAAAUGUGAUUGAUAGAUGGAUGCAAAACUGGCCUGACAGAGGAUGCAACUUUCAAAAUCCAUGUACAUGCUGUGGUAGGCAGAAUUCCGAGCUGCCUGCCCCCUGGUGUGUACAUCAUGUAUAAUCCCCUCCCCCAGACUAUGGGCAAAGCUGUGACUAUGAUGGAUUUCUUCUCACGGUCAGGUUACGCUCGAUGACAAAGGUGAAGUGUGGGGAUUUUACAGGUGUAAUUAAAUCGCUGAGACUCUGAAUUAACCAAAAAGGAGAUUAGCUGAGUGGGUCUAACCUAAUAAGAUGAACCCUUAAAGCAUACUGGACCAUUCCUGAAGGAAGAGAUUUAAGCAGGAAAGGCCAGCAAUGGCCUCUGAAAAGCAAGCUGCCAACUAGGGGAGGACCACGUGACGGGGGAUGGCAGGCAGCCUCUGGAAUCUGAGAACCAAGAGCCAGCAAGAAAGAGGAACCUCAUAAUCGCAAGAUGAAUUCUUCCAUCCACCAGACACCCUGGAAGAGGAACCCAAAGCCCCAGAUGAGACCAAGUCAGCACCUGGAUAUCAGUCUGCCGAGACCCUGGGCAGAAGACCCAGCUAACAUGUGCCCGGAUCUCUGACCCAUAGAAAAUACCAGAUAAUGAAUUUACAUUACUAUAAGUUGUUUAACUUGUCGUAGUUUGUUAAGGAGCACCAGAAACCUCUUAGGCAGGUCCACAGAAAAGAAUGUUUUGCAUUGGUACUGAUUAGCUACCACUUAUGAAGCUGUAAAGCAGCUCAAGGCAGUGAAAGGUACAGAGACCCCACAGAAUCAAAUAACCUGGAAGAUAACACCUCGAUUUGUAUUGAAAGUAUCCAGUAAUCCAUUUGGUCCCUACUGUGAGAAAUGUUUCAUUUGGCAAAAUGCCUGUUUCACAGGCAAUAUUGCUUAAUUUUGUUUUUUAUUUAAAGGAAACCUUCCCCCCCCCAAAAAAAGAUUUAGACUGCACUUUAAUUUGUUUUUCUGGGCAUAUGAGGGGAUGAGGGGUGGCUUGCUAUUGGGAAUUACAGAAUGGAGACCCCAGAAGGCUGCAGAAAGCACCGGUCACCGCUGAGAAAAUGGAACUGGGAAAAACCCAACUUGGACCGUGAGGCUGAUGCUCGAGAUUAAGUAAAAGUCAAGGCUGCCUCCAUCCAGUCAUGCAUUUAUUCCCUCAAUGAACAAACCCAGUGCCUCCCGGGUUCCAGACAGAGGUACAGAAGUGAACAAACACCAGCAAGUCCCCAGUCUCACAGGAUUUACAUCCCGAAGGAGGAGCAAUAACCCAUAUUUGGAGAUCAAUGAUGAAAAGUUUCAGAAUUUGAGAACUAUACUGAUAUUUGACCUUUGUGCUCAGCCAUGAAGAAACUUCUGGGGUUAAAGGUUGAGAUCAUACCUCUGUGGAAAGUGUUUUGAGAAAAUUUAGUCCUCAGGCAUUCUGGUAAGAGGCAGAUCCAAGUAGAGAAAAUGAGGAUAAUGAUGAUGCCGGGCUCUUAGACGGAGGUGAGGUUAGAUGCAUAGGCGCCUACUCUGAUGUGGUCCAGCUUCCCAAGUAAAUAUAGACUAAAUAAGGAAUUGUCCUCUGGUGGGGAUCAGCCCUUGUCUGCCAUGUGGAGGUUGCCCUGGAUGAAGCCCUAGAGGUUGCCCUGGACUCUGGAUGAAGAAAUAUAGAAAAUACAAUAAUAAAUUAAGGUUAAAUUGCUACAUUUAAUUCUGUGGUUAGUGAUAAUGACAGCUAAUACAUACAAGCACUUACUAUCAUUGUUCUAAGUACUUCACGUACAAUAACUUAUUUAAGACUUACCAUCAACCAAUGAGGUAGAAACUAUUAUCAUUCCCAUGUGACAGAUGAGGCAACUGAGGCAGCGAAUGGUUAAGUGAUUUCUCCAAAGUCCCACAACUAGUGAGAGUGAGAGCUAUGAUUCACACCCAGACAGUCUGGCACCAGAAUUCUAGCUCUUAACCCUCACUGAGCACCAUCUUUGUAAUAAGGGUUCCUUCAGACAUGGGCAGAAACAGUUCUGAAGUCUGCUCUGCCUUGUAAUUUACUUCUAUUACUCAAACGCUUCAGUAUUCUCAAUAGCCAUAGUCCAUCUUCAGCCGCUCUAUAGGAAAUAAAGGGAUUUUUAUAUCUUCUUCUGGUCUCAGUGUGGGCGCCUGCUGAUUGUACAAUAAGUAAAACUAGCAGUUAUUUUUACCAUUCUGGCAAAUCUGUCACCUAUUAAAAAAAAAUGCCUCUUUCCUCAUUUCUGAACUACAUUUCUCCUUUCUCUUUGAAGAAAUGCAGUUCUCCUCUGGGAGUUCUGCCUUAGAAAUCUAUACUGCUCAUCUCCCCGCUAGGAUUCAACUCCCCAGCACAAGCUCUGUGACUGCGAAUCCCUGCAGCUGCCAGCAAACAAUAAGUAAUACAAAGGAGAACUGAGGGUUUCGAGUUUCCUGUUUACAGCCUCCAUGCAACGGGGAUCUCUCCGAGAGACGUGUAAGGCCGGCAACAAAUUAACAAGGGUUUAGUUAUUUUACAAGGGGGAACAAUGGUUCCUCUGAUCACUUUUGAUUCAUUCCAUCUCUGGUUUCCAUGGAGCAUCAUAAAAGGAUCUAUGUGUGUCAAGACGGGAGAAAGAGAAGUGGCCUGCGGCGCCCAGGGGAAGAAGCAUCCACCUCCUGAGGCUCCUGCGAGAGAGGGUAUCUCUGACACUUAGUACCCAGUUCCGGUCGUGGGCUGCUCUGUCUAGGGAAAUGGCAAUCCGAUCCGGUAUCACAGCCCUCAUUCCAGCAGUCUUAUUAUUCUCUUCUCAGGCGAUCUCUGCCCGUGGGUUCUAGUCCCUUUUUAGGAACUUGCCUCCACCUUUCCCCUUUUUUCUUCCCUUUUUAUUGCCACGAGUUGAAAAGCUGUGUAGGAAAUUACACUUGCCUGCUGAACUGCCUCUUAAAGGAAACUGUUGAAUUUUCCAGAGAUAACC
rnacentral:lncRNA from 1 species